UAAAGCCUGAGUUAACUAACUUAGAUGCAUAAAUCAAAUUCCUUAUCAUGGAAGGUACCUAAAGUACUGGACUCAAUUCUAAAACAAAACCAGAUGAUAAAACUAAUUUGACACUUCUUAUGGAUUUAACAGCUACUUUGGUGAGGCGAAAUGGUAGAAUAGUAAUUUCACAAUCAAGAGAGAUAUUUUUUAUUGUUUUUCCUUUUAUGGGAUUGGUUGGUAUGCCAUGAGGGACCCACCCUCUGUUUUGGUUCCCCGGUCUCUCAGCUCUCUUCUCUCUCAUAGUUCUCACUUCCCCCUUCUUCUCCCUUCUCUCUCCCGGUUCUCUCUUCACGCUCUCCCCCUGAAACUCUCUGCAACUCUCUCCCUUUCUGCGUUAUCCCUCUCCCCUCUGAAAACAACACACACACACACGUACCCACCCAUACAUACUCACAUGGAUACACCUAGUCGCCGUCUUAGCGGAGGAAGGAACGGAUACCAGUAUUCGAACCCGUAAGCUCGGGGAACCACAACGGUGAACCCUCGACCUUGGUUUGUAGUGAGAAACAACUCGGAGGUUUAUUUCCCAAUUUUCCGGCAAGGUGCCGUGACUUGCAGACUUUUCUCGACCCUAUUCCGGCCACGAAUGGCCACGGGGAAGGUAUAGAUCUCUUCCUUUCUUCAUGGGCUUCAUUUCAUAACCAAAAUCCAUGAAAUUUAUAUGGAUUUGAAGGUAUCGAAGAGUAGAACACAAUCGUACCUAUUAAGAGUCCAAAAUCCUACGAAAACGGUCGGAAAAAUCAUUGGAAAAACCGGCCAACUCUGCAACUUCGUGAAUUUGCCUAUUCCGACGUCCAAAAUACUCCAAAACUACUCCAAAGUGCUAAGGAAGUUGAGUGGAUACCCUUCCAAGCCUUAAAUCUCUGAAAUCUCACUGGGAUCACGUCGGAGCAAAAAGGCACCUCGCCAGAGCUUCGGGUUUCUCAAGUCCCAUCGUCCGUUCGAUAGCUUAAGGGUAUCACUAGGAUUGUGAGGUCGAGUUGAGUAUGCUGGCACCAGUUUCGAGCUUGAUCCGUGAGAGUUUGAUAGAUUGUGAGCUGAGGGUCUCGGGUGUACGGAGGGAGAAGAGUCGAGAAGGAGAGGGAGAAAGGUGUACGUGUGUGUGCGUGUGUGGGUCUGCCUGAUUGGGCAGCAGAGAUAGAGAGAGAGAGAGAGAGAGAGAGUAAUAGAUUUUAGUUGGUCCAACAACAAUUAACCCAAUUAUCUGAUUGGGCUUAGGACAUAGAGAAACUAAAAUGAUUGGUGGGUAGGGCUAGGUAUACUCAAUCUUAAAAAUAUAUUUCUACCCAUUUGCAUAUUUAAUUGUUGGUAACAUUUACAUAUUUAAUUGUUCGUAACCCAA